CUGGAAAGAUUCAGGACUGCUGGUUCUCGUCCGAACACCGAAGUUAAACAAUGUCGGGCCCGGUCAGUACUUGGGAGGGAGAUAGGAACGAUCAGCUAUUUCCUU